CUCAGCAGCAGGAUGGUUACGGCUGCGAUCAGACACCGGUUCAGCGUCACGCCUUCCCACGGCGUCUCGAACUGCGUCAGGUUCUGGAUGGACAGCGUCCUGCGUAACGACGCUGCUGUACGGGCGACAAAACACAGAAGACAUACUGGCACCGGUGAGCGGAUGUUCCCGUGCGAUCAUCUUUGGGACCUGCUGGACGUUUGGAGAUUCCUGCGGGACACACGAGGGCUAUUAAUAGAACGGACAAGCUGAGCGCUCGAUAAACCAGUCCUCGUCCCAGGACACAAGACUGCGCAGAUGGGCCGCAAAAGCAGUGCUGUGAUCUUUGGCAAGGGCAAGGAGCCGGUUUGGAGCAGAGGGAGAGAGGAGCAGAAUACAUAAGUGCAAAACUAAAUAAGGAGGUGCAUCAAAGAGAGGCUGUUCUCCAGACGUCUGCGUGAAGAGGAAAUGAGUGUCAUCUCAACUCUGCUCUCAGGACUCUGUUCAGACGAUCUACUGCAGAAACACAACACGUGUGAUCUGGAACGAACACCUUCUCUACACGGUCUACUCAAUUAAAGCUGGUUUUAAACACAAGAACAGAUCCUGAGUCAACGGCCCCUAGGAAGCAUUAGACUGCGAGACACUCGCUGGAGUUUGGAACAGAUCCUGUGUGUGUGUGUGUGUGUGUGUGUGUGUGUGUGUGUGUGUGUGUGUGUGUGCGUGUGUGUGUGUGUGUGUGUUCGUGCACGUUGUGUUCCACAGA